rnacentral:tRNA from 1 species
CUCCCUGUGGCUCAGUUGGUAGAGCAUGGUGUUUGCAAUGGUGUUUGUAACGCCAGGGUUGUGGGUUCGAUUCCCACGGGGGGC